AUGCGUCUCUCGGUGGCUGCAAACAGUCAAUGGGCAGCACCGCUCACGGAGGAAACAGUCACCCCAGCCGGUCCCUCGUCGGCCUUGGUAAUGAAUCACUCCGGUCGUGUGGUUAAAGAUGCCCCGGUUAGUGCCUUGUCGACGCAAAUAUCAUCGGCCACAGCGCAGCCCACAAGUGGUCAAUUAUUUCCCGCAGGACAAAUUAACAUGUGCGGCGAGGCGCCGACACACUCACUCACAAGGAGAAGAAGAGCAAACAAGAAGAGGAGGAAAGACAACAGAGAAAGAAGAGCCAUGGAGCACUCCUACAGCAGCAACAGCGGCAUCACUACCAACUACGGCGGCGCAAAGGAGAGGAGGCCUGCGCUGAAGAGGGGGCAGCUGAAGCGGCAGAUCGUGAGGACCAUCAGCAACCUCAUGGCGCCGAGGAACGACGGCGCGGGCGCGGGCAAAGGGGCGUCAGGCUGCACUAGCUUCGGCGCCUACAACUGA
rnacentral:rRNA from 1 species